rnacentral:tRNA from 1 species
GGGGAAUUAGCUCAGUUGGGAGAGCGCAUGACUGGCAGUCAUGAGGUCAGGGGUUCGAACCCCCUAUUCUCCACCA